rnacentral:lncRNA from 1 species
ACUGCUCUAUUUUAUAUGUGUAUUGGUCACUCAAUAUCACUUUCUCUUGCAUCAAUAACUUUGUUUUUUUUUCGUUCAACUUAAAACUAACACUUGAUUUUCUCCCGUUCCAAAUCCCAUAUCUGGUGAUACUACAGCAAUUCUUCUCAAUGACCUUCCACGAUCUAUAAGAUGCAUUCUUUUUCUUUUGUCCAAGCUUCUUGUUUCUGUAAAAAUCUCUACUCUAAUAUCAACUUGGACUCUAUAUUCUCCUAGAUAAUCUGUUCUUUUUUUACAAUUCUU